rnacentral:rRNA from 1 species
CAGCAGCCACGGUAAUACGUAGGGUGCGAGCGUUAAUCGGAAUUACUGGGCGUAAAGCGUGCGCAGGCGGUUGUGUAAGACAGGUGUGAAAUCCCCGGGCUUAACCUGGGAACUGCGCUUGUGACUGCACAGCUAGAGUAUGGCAGAGGGGGGUGGAAUUCCACGUGUAGCAGUGAAAUGCGUAGAGAUGUGGAGGAACACCGAUGGCGAAGGCAGCCCCCUGGGCCAAUACUGACGCCCAUGCACGAAAGCGUGGGGAGCAAACAGGAUUAGAGACCCCAGUAGUCCCUGUCUCUUAUAC